rnacentral:rRNA from 1 species
UUGGUGGGGUAAUGGCCUACCAAGGCGACGACGGGUAGCCGACCUGAGAGGGUGAUCGGCCACACUGGGACUGAGACACGGCCCCUACUCCUACGGGAGGCAGCAGUGGGGAAUAUUGCACAAUGGGCGCAAGCCUGAUGCAGCGACGCCGCGUGAGGGAUGACGGCCUUCGGGUUGUAAACCUCUUUCACCAGGGACGAAGCGGAAGUGACGGUACCUGAGAGAGAAGCACCUGCCCCCUACGUGCCAGCAGCCGCGGUAAUACGUAGGGUGCGAGCGUUGUCCGGAAU